rnacentral:rRNA from 1 species
GACGAACGCUGGCGGCGUGCUUAACACAUGCAAGUCGAACGGAAAGGCCCUGCUUUUGUGGGGUGCUCGAGUGGCGAACGGGUGAGUAACACGUGAGUAACCUGCCCUUGACUUUGGGAUAACUUCAGGAAACUGGGGCUAAUACCGGAUAGGAGCUCCUGCUGCAUGGUGGGGGUUGGAAAGUUUCGGCGGUUGGGGAUGGACUCGCGGCUUAUCAGCUUGUUGGUGGGGUAGUGGCUUACCAAGGCUUUGACGGGUAGCCGGCCUGAGAGGGUGACCGGCCACAUUGGGUCUGAGAUACGGCCCAGACUCCUACGGGAGGCAGCAGCGGGGAAUAUUGCACAAUGGGCGGAAGCCUGAUGCAGCAACGCCGCGUGCGGGAUGACGGCCUUCGGGUUGUAAACCGCUUUCGCCUGUGACGAAGCGUGAGUGACGGUAAUGGGUAAAGAAGCACCGGCUAACUACGUGCCAGCAGCCGCGGUGAUACGUAGGGUGCGAGCGUUGUCCGGAUUUAUUGGGCGUAAAGGGCUCGUAGGUGGUUGAUCGCGUCGGAAGUGUAAUCUUGGGGCUUAACCCUGAGCGUGCUUUCGAUACGGGUUGACUUGAGGAAGGUAGGGGAGAAUGGAAUUCCUGGUGGAGCGGUGGAAUGCGCAGAUAUCAGGAGGAACACCAGUGGCGAAGGCGGUUCUCUGGGCCUUUCCUGACGCUGAGGAGCGAAAGCGUGGGGAGCGAACAGGCUUAGAUACCCUGGUAGUCCACGCUGUAAACGGUGGGUACUAGGUGUGGGGUCCAUUCCACGGGUUCCGUGCCGUAGCUAACGCUUUAAGUACCCCGCCUGGGGAGUACGGCCGCAAGGCUAAAACUCAAAGGAAUUGACGGGGCCCCGCACAAGCGGCGGAGCAUGCGGAUUAAUUCGAUGCAACGCGUAGAACCUUACCUGGGUUUGACAUGGAUCGGGAGUGCUCAGAGAUGGGUGUGCCUCUUUUGGGGUCGGUUCACAGGUGGUGCAUGCCUGUCGUCAGCUCGUGUCGUGAGAUGUUGGGUUAAGUCCCGCAACGAGCGCAACCCUUGUUCACUGUUGCCAGCACGUUAUGGUGGGGACUCAGUGGAGACCGCCGGGGUCAACUCGGAGGAAGGUGGGGAUGACGUCAAGUCAUCAUGCCCCUUAUGUCCAGGGCUUCACGCAUGCUACAAUGGCUGGUACAGAGAGUGGCGAGCCUGUGAGGGUGAGCGAAUCUCGGAAAGCCGGUCUCAGUUCGGAUUGGGGUCUGCAACUCGACCUCAUGAAGUCGGAGUCGCUAGUAAUCGCAGAUCAGCAACGCUGCGGUGAAUACGUUCCCGGG